ensembl:snRNA U6 U6 spliceosomal RNA
GCUUGCUUCAGCCCACAUAUACUAAAAUUGGAAUAAUACAGAGAAGAUUAGCAUUGCCCCUGCACAAGAAUGAUAUGCAAAUUCAUGACAUGUUCUAUAUUAUU